AUGAACGCUGGCGGCCUGCCUAACCCAUGCACGUCGAUCGGUAAGGCUCUUCGGAGUACCCGAGAGGCGGACGGCUGAGUAACGCGUAGGAACACACCCUGCAGUGAGGGAUAAGACACCGAAAGGUGUUCUAAUACCGCAUACGGUCUUCGGAUUAAAGCAUUUAUGCGCUGAAGGAGUGGCCUGCGUCAUAUUAGAUAGUUGGUGAGGUAAUGGCUCACCAAGUCGAUGAUGUGUAGCUGGUCUGAGAGGAUGAUCAGCCAGACUGGAACUGAGACACGGUCCAGACUCCUACGGGAGGCAGCAGUGAGGAAUAUUUCACAAUGAGCGAAAGCUUGAUGGAGCAAUGCCGCGUGCAGGAUGAAGGCCCUCGGGUUGUAAACUGCUUUUAUAAGAGAAGAUUAUGACGGUAACUUAUGAAUAAGGGACGGCUAACUACGUG
rnacentral:rRNA from 1 species